rnacentral:rRNA from 1 species
UACCAGACUCCUACGGGAGGCAGCAGUGGGGAAUAUUGCACAAUGGGGGGAACCCUGAUGCAGCGACGCCGCGUGGGUGAAGGAGUACUUCGGUACGUAAAGCCCUAUCAGCAGGAAAGAAAAUGACGGUACCCGACUAAGAAGCCCCGGCUAACUACGUGCCAGCAGCCGCGGUAAUACGUAGGGGGCAAGCGUUAUCCGGAUUUACUGGGUGUAAAGGGAGCGUAGACGGCAGCGCAAGUCUGGAGUGAAAUGCCGGGGCCCAACCCCGGAACUGCUUUGGAAACUGUGCAGCUAGAGUGCGGGAGAGGUAAGCGGAAUUCCUAGUGUAGCGGUGAAAUGCGUAGAUAUUAGGAGGAACACCAGUGGCGAAGGCGGCUUACUGGACCGUAACUGACGUUGAGGCUCGAAAGCGUGGGGAGCAAACAGGAUUAGAUACCCCCGUAGC